GAUGAACGCUGGCGGCGUGCUUAACACAUGCAAGUCGAACGGAAAGGCCAGUGCUUGCACUGGUACUCGAGUGGCGAACGGGUGAGUAACACGUGGGUGAUCUGCCCUGCACUUCGGGAUAAGCCUGGGAAACUGGGUCUAAUACCGGAUAGGACAAUGGUUUGGAUGCCGUUGUGGAAAGUUUUUUCGGUGUGGGAUGAGCUCGCGGCCUAUCAGCUUGUUGGUGGGGUAAUGGCCUACCAAGGCGUCGACGGGUAGCCGGCCUGAGAGGGUGUACGGCCACAUUGGGACUGAGAUACGGCCCAGACUCCUACGGGAGGCAGCAGGGGGGAAUAUUUGACAAUGGGGGCAAGCCUGAUGGAGGGACGCCGCGUGGGGGAAGACGGCCUUCGGGUUGUAAACUCCUUUCGCUAGGGAAGAAGCGUAUUUGUGACGGUACCUGGAGAAGAAGCACCGGCUAACUACGUG
rnacentral:rRNA from 1 species